UGGAAAGGGCGGUCAGGCCUUGGCAGGGGCUGCCCAGGGAGGUGGUGGAGUCCCCGUCCCUGGAGGUGUUCAGGGGAGGACUGGACGUGGCGCUUAUCCAAAACCUAAAAGUCUAAUGGGAUUUUGGAGCAGAGGUUGUGUGUGUUCCCCGUGUUCAGCUUGGCUCGAUUGUCUUGGGUUUUGGUAAACUUCCUAGCUGCUUAUUAAAUAGCUUGGCUGGUUCUGUGCUGUUGAUC